AAUAUAAAUAUAUUUAAGUUUUUUUCUUCCUAUAAUUGUUUCUAUUUAUAUUCUAAGUUUAUAUAAUAUAAUCUACAAAAUAAUUUUUCCUAUAAUUAUAAUUACAUCAGAUUAUCUAUAUUUAUGAUUUGUUUGAAAGUUUUAAUUUUUGGCUUAUCUAUGAUAAGUUUUUCUUUUUAUAUUUUAAUUAAAUAAAUAAAAAUAAACAUAUUGUCAGGCAGUCAAUUCAAGAGAAUUAGUUUUGAGUUUCACUUAUGAACAAUACAUAAGGAAUAAUCACUUAAGUGAUGUCCCUUUUAAUAUAAGUUGAUGUGUAAUACAAUAUCAAAUGAUUUUAAAAUCCCUAUAAUUAUUUAUACAAUUAAAUAGACUUAUAAGCAUUUACAAAUGAUUUUAUACUUUUAUAAUUUUUUAUAAGUUAGAAAUUAAUUCCUAAAAUUUGAUAAAUAAUUUAUUAUUUAUAUCAAUUUCUGUAAAUGGUUUGUAUUCAUUACUUUAUAUAGUUAUAAUAUAUAAAAAUAAUUAAUCUAACAUUAUUACUCUUUCUAUAAUUUUGACAAUUACUACCAUAAAUCAUUAAUUAUGUAGACUUACCUUUUAUUUUAGAUCAAAUUAUAAUUACUUAAAAUUAAAAUCAUAGACCAUUCAAAUUAUAACAAUUUUCUUACAAUUAUAAAUAGAUUUGUGUCUCUCUAUAGCCAAUCUUGGAUUAUAAUUUGACCAAAAAUCUCUUCUUUUAUUUUGCAAAGACCAAAAAUCUCUUAUAUUUGAUAUAAAAGGAAAUGUUAUAUUCUCUUAUAUAUAUUUGACCAAGAAAAUAUUUACUUGUAAUGUGCAUGCGUCACUAUAUAUAUAAUCAGAAAAAGUAAAGAAAAACGCACCAAACAAAACGCUAAAGUGAAUAUUUUACAACAAAGUUUUAAAUUUACUUAUAAAAUGGUCAUCACUAUGAAAACUUUAGUUCUGUUUGUUUUCACUACUUUUUUCAUCAUAUCUUUUGUUGAUUGUCAUACUACAACUAUGGCUACUACCCCUGCUAGUACUCCUGGUUAUGGAAUAAAUUGGGCGACAGUACUGUGCUUCAAAAUCUCAACGCCGUGUGAUUUAGCAGGGCGAUAUGGAUGCGCAAAGUUUUGUGACCAGUGGGAUUAUUUUUAUGACAGGUGUGAACCGGGUAAAUGUUGUUGUCACAGAUAAGUAGUAUGCGUUCAGAAUAAAAUAAUCUUAUAAACGUAUUGGCAUUUGUUUGAAAGUAACAUCAACAACUUUCAUGCUUUAUUAUCAAUAUAUGAUCAAGAAAUGAAAUGAAUCAAAAUUAUUAGAUUGAAAUAGUUUGAUUCAAUCCAUUUAAUAAUAUUUAAAAAAAGAUUUACGAGAAAAAUAAAAUUAUAUCAGAAUACAACUUUUUCUUAAAAUUUUAAAUUAUGUAAUUAAUCAAAAGUCUCAAAUUACUCUGACUUCCACUUCCAGUCAUACAAGUUCACAUAACCAUGAAAUAUGUAAGACAAUAAUAAUUUAACAUGAAGAGAUGAGGAUGAUUGCUUAUAGUCAAUAGCAACACAACUUGAUGGGGUGAGAUCUUUACUGAGCUGAGUGCUAUGUAAAUAAGAAUUUCAGUAUCUUUGCUCGUGCUGUCGUGCAUCAUUGGCAAUAAGAAACCUUCUCGAGUCUGAAAAUAUAACAGAUUACACAAGUCCAUAGAGAUCAAGGGGACUCCACAAGGAUUCUUGUGAUGUUUUGAUUCGUUUUUGACUCAUCUUAGUAUCAGUCUUUAAAUUUCUAGUCUAUAUGGUAAUGUAUCUACUAUAUUAAUUUAGAGUUUUAUUUUUUAUCUACUGAUAAAAAUGGUCAUUAAAUUUUAAAAGGUCUCAUAAAACAUAUAACCGUAGUUAGAGCAUUAUAAAUACAUUUAUUAUAUUUCGGUUACUAAAAUGAGUUCCUGUUAAAUAGGAUAUUUGUUUAUAUUUAGAAAUUCCAAUUGAGUAACAACCGUAAUUAAUUCAAGUAUUGUCUAUGCCAUGUUACUUGAGUUUUAAACAAAAUAUCAUGGGCUUUCAAAUUUUAUACGUCGACAUAAAACACAUAAUAUAUUUUGUUUUAUACAAUUUAAAUAAUUAUAAUAAUAUACAACUAUAGUAUGAUAUAAAAUUUAAAAGAGUUAGGGCAUGACUGGUUUCUCUGCUACCAUCCGCAAAUGCAGCUUUUGCGUUUGGUAGCGGUUGUUGAUGUUUUGCAACAAUCACAAAAAACUCCAUAAAUCGUUUAAACCACUAUAAACUUCUAAAAUUCAAAAGCUGAUUCUAGCUAGUGUUUACGGUUGCAAACGGUUGCUGGAGGGCAAAACAAUUUUUUUUUAAAUAUCAUAUAAAUAUGGAAAUAAAAAUGUUCAAUUAAAUUUUAAAAUUGGAAUAAUAAAAAUGCUAAAAUAUAUAUACUAUAUUUUAAUUUAUACUAUAAAUUGAAACAACAAAAUAAUCUAUAGUUUACAAAAAUAGUAUAGAUUUAUGAAUAUAAUGUUUAUAUUGAUUAUAAUAAUAUGAUUUUAAAUUUUUUAAAUUAUAUACGAUGUAAAUAUUUUUAAUUUAUUAUUUAACCACUAAAACUUUUGGUAGUUAGCCAGUCACAAGUAUCCCGCAAACACAUUAAUUUCUAAAUGAUGUACCAGUCGUAUAAAUCUCUUAGUAACCCUUAAAACCGUAACUAUCCGCAUCCGUAAACGCUCGCAACCGCUGUGGUUACACCAGUCAGGCCCUUAACUAGGUUGUUACUGUUUUAAUUUCAACAACUCAUGUACAUAUGUGAACAAAAAUAUAAACAUGUCAGCUUUUAUUUAACAACUCAUGUACUGUUUAGAUGGUUAUGUUUAAAAUUAUUAGUUUUGGAUUUAAAUGGUUUAUUACAGUUUUGUAUAACCAUUCAACUUCUUUUUUUUUUAAUCAUCAUCAUUCGAAUUUGGUUAAAGAUAGUAAAUUUGCUGUAAAAAAAAAAACGAGUUUGUUAAAUCCUAAUUAAAAUUUUCAAUAAAAAAAUCAACCAAAUCCUAAUUAAAUCUAUUAGAAUGAAGUAAAUAUGUGGCCAAAAGAAAAAUAGAUUUCUCAAAUUUUAAUUAAACUGUCAAAAUGUAGUAAAUCUGUGGCCAAAAGAAAAUUAAAUCUAUCGAAUCUCAAUUAAAUCUGUCAAAUUGACGUAAAUUUGUGUAUAUAUAAAAAUAAAUCUAUUGAUGAUACAUAAGUCUAUCAAAAUUAAAUAAAUCUGUGCCCAAAUAAAUUAAAUCUGUUAAAUAAUUACUAAAUCUGUCAAAAUUAAAUAAGUUUGUGGCUAAAACGCGAAAAAUUUGUUAAAGGGAAUUUGUAAAAAUUAAGUAUGUGGCUAAAGAGAAAUAAAUCUGUCAAAAAUAAGUUUGUGACUACAUAAAACGUAGAAAAAUAAGUCUAUUCAAUGGUAAAAUCAUAAAUAGUUUUUUAACAAAAGAACAAAGGGUAAAACAUGUAUAAAAAAUAACUAGUAAUCAAAAUAAAAUUAGAGUUACUCUAAUAAUAAAUGGAUAAAUAAGGGUUAUACUAGGUUUUUUUCCUUUUUGUAACUGUUUUUAUUUUUGUUUAUCAAAUAUAUAUUAAGUAAGAGUUAAAAUUUGUAUAUUUUAUAUAGGCAUAUCUUUUUGUUGCCAAGAUAUACAUCAAUGUAUAAUUGUUCAAAAAAUUCAAUAUAUAAUUUGUUAUAGUCCAAAAUUGUUUGUUGCCAAAAUAUAAAACUAAUCUUUUAGUAUGAUCUGCAUUUUCAACACACAUAAAUAAUUUUUGUCUGCAUUCAUUUUAUUUCAUGAAAAUUGUAUUAUCUGUUCCGAUGAAUGAGAAAAUUUUAUAGAAAAUUUUCAUGUUUACCACAUUGUUGGUACCAUUAAAGGGACAUUUUCACAAAUAUUUUCUUCAUUAAGAGGUAAAAGAUUCUUAUACCCUUGCUUUAUAUAUAUAGUAAGUAAUUAUUGAAAUGAAUAAAUAAAAAAAUAAAUAAAAAUAUUUUUUAUAGUUUUCAAAUUAUACGUUUUCAAAUUCAAAAUUUUUUUUUGAAAUUUAAAAAUUCUUUUUGAAACUAUUUUUAUGAAUUAAAAAAUUAUUUAUUUAUAUAUACAUUAGAGUUUUAAACUUCACAUUCCAAAACCAUAUCCCAUCCCCCAACUCUAAACCCUAAAUCUAUAUUAGUUAACCCUAGGAUUAUAAGUGUUUUUUUACCUCUUUAAAAGUGAGGAUAAAAAUGGUUAAGGUAAACAUGAAAAUAAGUAUUAGGAAUAUGGUAUUUUAGGCAAUUUCCCAAAUUUUAUAAAGUUUAUUUAAUAAUUUUAGAUAAAUACUAAAUAAUAAGAAUAGACAACAAUAUAUUCUUAAAUUUGUUAGCUUUUCAAGUAUAUAGUUUUAUAGUAAGUUCAAGAUAAAUAUUAAAUAAAUAAUGAAAAUAUUGAAGUACUCUCAUUUUAUAGAUUCAGAAGAUAUAUAAUUUUUUUGUCAGACAUAUUAAAACAGACUCAUAUAGACUAUGUAAACCAGACUGGUAGCUCCGUAUCCAUAUGAACAACAAACGAUGGUUGUUUUUUUGCACUGCGUGCGAGACUGUCCGUCCUUGUAUUCUGCAUCUGCGGUAUAUAAAUGAGUACUAAGCUAUUGAAACUUCUCCUAAGGAUCUUUAUGUCUUACAAAUAAUUUGCAAAAGCUUGCCUUUUCUGGUUCCGAAAUCAUCUUCAUCAACUGGAAACAAUCCGUUGCAAAUGCAACAUAAAACUGUCGUAGAUUCUUCAUACAUUCCAUACCCCAAAUGAGAGCUUCUAUUUCUGAGUGAAGUGGCAACUGACUCACUCUUGUAUUCCUAGCUCCCAUCAAACCCUCAUUUUAUCUAUUUUAUGUGGUAUAUAAUUAAAUUUAAAUGAUAUUAGCAUAGAUAUAUAGUUUAUUUUUAAUAUGACUAUCUAUUAAAUAAAGAUUUUUACUUAUAUGGUUUUAUUAUUAUUUGUAAUUUUUAAUAACAAAAAUUUUAAAACAUAGAUAACAAAAUUUUUAAAAUGUGAGACGUUUAAUAUAUAGUAAUUUAUAAUCGUCUUUAAAAAUUAAAUGAAAAUUUCAAAAUUAAAAUAUGAAGUUCUUAUAAUAUUUUUAAAAGUAUUCGGAAUUAAAAUAUUUAUGUAUUUUUAUAAGGUAUAUAAUUUAAUUAAAACAUAUAGUUUUAUAAUUAGUUUAACUUGUCAUAACAAAAAUGUUAAACCAUUGAUACACAAUUUCAUUGUGGGAUUUUCAAUAGUUUUAGUAAUUUAUAGUUUUUUUUAAAUUCAAAAUAUAACAUAUACUGAAAAUCUAAAUUUUUAUUAUUAUAUUGUUACUCUGGUUCUUUAAUUUAUUUAAUAAUAAAAAUUAAAUAAAAAUGAUAGUGGAUACACAAAUUUUUAUGAAAACUAUAUUAUUCGAAAUCAUUAAUUUUCAUAUAUACUUUAGUCACAUUAGGUAGUUCUGUAGUUUUCAUUGAAACAAAGUAUGAAGAACAUUAAAAAUUAUGUUUAUGAUUAGUUAAGUAAAAAAAUUAGUAUAUAUUUAGAUAGACCAACGUAAUUCUCUAAAGAUUUUAAAACAUAUUUUGGUGAUGACACAUGACUACCUUCAAUGUUGUAAUGAUUCUGAAAUAAUAUAUAAUAGAUUUUUUCUAUGAUUUCUACCUAAUUAUAGACAAUAGGCCAAAGGCCAUAAGU